GUGCAGCAGGCGAGAAUCCUCCUCAAUGCACUCACGUGCGAAGGGGUUACCUCGAGUGCCGCCUGAAGAAGGCGGCUUUUCCAUGGUCUAAAAAGCCUAGGGAAUAAGAGGGGGCAAGACUGGUGUCAGCCGCCGCGGUAACACCAGCCCCUCGAGUGGUGGGGAUGAUUAUUUGGCCUAAAGCGUCCGUAGCCGGCCGGGUAAGUCUCCCGUUAAAUCCAGCGUCUCAAGCGUUGGACUGCGGGAGAUACUGUCUGGCUAGAGAGUGGGAGAGGUGUACGGUAUUCUGGGGGUAGGGGCGAAAUCCUUUGAUCCCCGGAGGACCACCAGUGGCGAAGGCUGUACACUAGAACACGUCUGACGGUCAGGGACGAAAGCUGGGGUAGCGAACCGGAUUAGAUACCCGCGUAGU
rnacentral:rRNA from 1 species